rnacentral:rRNA from 1 species
AAUCAACGCUGGCGGCGUGCCUAACACAUGCAAGUCGAACGCGAAAGGGGAGCAAUCCCUGAGUAGAGUGGCAAACGGGUGAGUAACACGUGGGUGACCUGCCUUCGAGUGGGGGAUAACGUUCCGAAAGGAACGCUAAUACCGCAUGACAUCCUGCUUUUGGAAAAGUGGAGAUCAAAGCUGGGGAUUCGCAAGAACCUGGCGCUUGAAGAGGGGCCCGCGCCUGAUUAGCUAGUUGGUGAGGUAACGGCUCAUCAAGGCUUCGAUCAGUAUCCGGCCUGAGAGGGCGGACGGACACACUGGGACUGAGACACGGCCCAGACUCCUACGGGAGGCAGCAGUGGGGAAUUGUUCGCAAUGGGCGCAAGCCUGACGACGCAACGCCGCGUGGAGGAUGAAGACCUUCGGGUCGUAAACUUCUGUCGAGUGGGAAGAAUAGCUAUCGGGCGAAUAUCCCGGAAGUCUGACGGUACCACUAAAGGAAGCCCCGGCUAACUCCGUG